UUGCAUCACUUACAGAUAUUCCUCGCACAUGACUGAAAGGUGUACCAAUGCAUUAAUCGACGGUUCAUGAAAUCCAUAAACCAUGUAGUUUUCAUUAUUACGGAUCACGAGUGAUAAGAUAUAGGUUUUAACAAGCUACCCGGGAGUUUCCAGAAAUUUCUAGAAUUUCCAAUAUGUCGACAUCGAUGACGAACAAUUCAGUGUUGUAAAUGCAAGAAUGGCGGGACAAAUUGGAAGAAUGUAGGACUUCCUGGGAUCUGUGUGUUUCCUUUCAUUUGCCGUGGAAUAACACUUUCGAAAAGAAUUUAUCGAACGCGUUUCCACUUUCUGUUUAAACAUAGCAAGAGUUCAUACCGAAAUAAACUUCAUAUAAAUGUGUAUACUAAUACGUGACCUUGAACCAACUUAACCGACUAUGGCUUCCACGAGGGAAGAAAUUCAACGGUUUCCAGGGACGAAUGCAUCGUAUACACGACACAAUUACAUUUCCACGGUACUCGGCGUGCGCUUCGCUCUUCCAAAAUUUCUCGUUGGAAAGUUACGUACCCUCAUCUCUGCAAUUACGAGCGUACGGGUACUUAACUAUGGCGGUAACUAUACCGAUCACUAUGUUAAUCACCUGGAUAACUUUUAACUAUCCGCCAGGAGAACACGUAGUCGUACAUUUUUGGCGAUAACAAUGUGUGCCAUACGUAACCGUAUAUA